CUCGUAGGUGGUUUGUCGCGUCGUCUGUGAAAUUCCGGGGCUUAACUCCGGGCGUGCAGGCGAUACGGGCAUAACUUGAGUACUGUAGGGGUAACUGGAAUUCCUGGUGUAGCGGUGAAAUGCGCAGAUAUCAGGAGGAACACCGAUGGCGAAGGCAGGUUACUGGGCAGUUACUGACGCUGAGGAGCGAAAGCGUGGGGAGCAAACA
rnacentral:rRNA from 1 species